rnacentral:rRNA from 1 species
AAUCUUGCGCAAUGGACGAAAGUCUGACGCAGCGACGCCGCGUGAGGGACGAAGGCCUUCGGGUCGUAAACCUCUGUCCUUGGGGACGAUGAUGACGGUACUCAAGGAGUAAGCCCCGGCUAUCUACUAGCCCGCAGCCGCGGUAAUACGUAGGGGGCGAGCGUUGUCCGGAAUUAUUGGGCGUAAAGUGUGCGUAGGCGGCAUGGCAAGUCCUGUGUGAAAGGUCGCGGCUUAACCGCGGUGGGUCAUGGGAAACUGCCAGGCUAGAGUGCCGGAGAGGAUAGCGGAAUUCCACGUGUAGCGGUGAAAUGCGUAGAUAUGUGGAGGAACACCCGUGGCGAAGGCGGCUAUCUGGAAGGUAACUGACGCUGAGGCACGACAGCUGGGGGAGCGAAC